rnacentral:rRNA from 1 species
AACACAAGGGUAAUCUGCCCUUAAAUUAGGGAUAACCUUGCGAAAGCGAAGCUGAUACCUGAUAAGACUACGACCUCUUAGGUGGUUGUAGGAAAAGAUGGCCUCUGUUUCAAGCUAUCGUUUAAGGAUGAGCCCUUGCACUAUUAGCUUGUUGGUGGGGUAAAGGCCUACCAAGGCUACGAUGGUUAGUUGGUCUGAGAGGAUGACCAGCCACACUGGAACUGAGACACGGUCCAG